UAAUACGUAGAUGGCGAGCGUUAUCCGGAAUCAUUGGGCGUAAAGUGGGCGUAGGCGGUUCUGCAAGUCAGAUGUAAAAUCUCCCGGCUUAACCGGGAGGGAACAUUCGAUACUGCGGGGCUAGAGUGCAGCAGGGGGAAGUGGAAUUCCCGGUGUAGUGGUGAAAUGCGUAGAUAUCGGGAGGAACACCAGUGGCGAAGGCGGCUUUCUGGGCUGUUACUGACGCUGAGGUCCUAAAGCGUGGGGAGCAAACAGGAUUAGAUACCCUGGUAGUCCACGCCGUAAACGAUGGACACUAGGUAUGGGGAGUAUCGACCCUUUCCGUGCCGAAGCUAACGCAUUAAGUGUCCCGCCUGGGGAGUACGGUCGCAAGACUA
rnacentral:rRNA from 1 species